CCUGCAGGCGGUCUCGUAAGUGGGAUGUGAAAUCUCCUGGCUUAACUGGGAGGGGUCAUUCCAUACUGCGAGGCUCGAGGGCAGAAGAGGGAAGCGGAAUUCCCGGUGUAGUGGUGAAAUGCGUAGAUAUCGGGAGGAACACCAGUGGCGAAGGCGGCUUCCCGGCCUGCUCCUGACGCUAAGAGGCGAAAGCUAGGGGAGCGAACGGGAUUAGAAACCCCGGUAGUCCUAGCCAUAAACGAUGGAUACUGGGUGUCGGUGGUCCUAACCCCAUCGGUGCCGAAGCUAACGCGUUAAGUAUCCCGCCUGGGGACUACGGCCGCAAGGUUAA
rnacentral:rRNA from 1 species